UACCGAGGUCCCAAGCGUUGUUCGGAUUCACUUGGCGUAAAGGGUGCGUAGGUGGUAGGGUAAGUCGGAUGUGAAAUCUCCGAGCUCAACUCGGAAAUGGCAUUGGAAACUACCCUGCUAGAGGGUCGGAGGGGGGACUGGAAUACUUGGUGUAGCAGUGAAAUGCGUAGAUAUCAAGUGGAACACCAGUGGCGAAGGCGAGUCCCUGGACGACUCCUGACACUGAGGCACGAAAGCUAGGGGAGCAAACAGG
rnacentral:rRNA from 1 species